rnacentral:rRNA from 1 species
CGUAGGGGGCAAGCGUUGUCCGGAUUUAUUGGGCGUAAAGAGCGUGUAGGCGGCCGCACAGGUCCGUUGUGAAAACUGGAGGCUUAACCUUCAGACGUCGAUGGAAACCGUGCGGCUAGAGUCCGGAAGAGGAGAAUGGAAUUCCUGGUGUAGCGGUGAAAUGCGCAGAUAUCAGGAAGAACACCCGUGGCUAAGGCGGUUCUCUAGUACGGUACUGACGCUGAGACGCGAAAGCGUGGGGAGCGAACAGGAUUAGAUACCCUGGUAGUCCACGCCGUAAACGAUGGGUGCUAGGUGUGGGGGUGUCGACUCCCCCGUGCCGAAGCUAACGCAUUAAGCACCCCGCCUGGGGAGUACGGCCGCAAGGCU